UAAGUGGGAAACGAUGUGGGAAGGCUCAGACAGCUAGGAGGUUGGCUUAGAAGCAGCCAUCCUUUAAAGAAAGCGUAAUAGCUCACUAGUCGAGUCGGCCUGCGCGGAAGAUAUAACGGGGCUAAAUCAGGUACCGAAGCUACGGGUUCAUCCUUAUGGAUGAGCGGUAGAGGAGCGUCGUGUAAGCCAAUGAAGGUGGAUUGAGAAGUCUGCUGGAGGUAUCACGAGUGCGAAUGCUGACAUGAGUAACGAUAAGGGGAGUGAAAAACUCCCCCGCCGGAAGACCAAGGUUUUCUGUUCUACGUUAAUCGGAGCAGAGUGAGUCGGCCCCUAAGGCGAGGCGGAAACGCGUAGUCGAUGGGAAACGGGUUAAUAUUCCCGUACCGGAUGUGGUUGCGAUGGGGGGACGAAGAAGGCUAGGUGAGCCAGGCGUUGGUUGUCCUGGUGAAAGCAUGUAGGCCGAGGAAUCAGGCAAAUCCGGUUCCUCUGAGGUCGAGAUGCGAGACGAACUGACCACGGUCAGGAAGUCAUCGAUGCCACGCUUCCAGGAAAAGCCUCUAAGCUUCAGAUCACAUGCGACCGUACCCCAAACCGACACAGGUGGUCAGGUAGAGAAUACCAAGGCGCUUGAGAGAACUCGGGUGAAGGAACUAGGCAAAAUGGCACCGUAACUUCGGGAGAAGGUGCACCGGUUCGAGUGAAGGACUUGCUCCGUAAGCUCUUACCGGUCGAAGAUACCAGGUGGCUGCAACUGUUUAUUAAAAACACAGCACUCUGCAAACACGAAAGUGGACGUAUAGGGUGUGACGCCUGCCCGGUGCUGGAAGAUUAAAUGAUGGGGUGCAAGCUCUUGAUUGAAGUCCCAGUAAACGGCGGCCGUAACAAUAACGGUCCUAAGGUAGCGAAAUUCCUUGUCGGG
rnacentral:rRNA from 1 species